AGGGCCAUUUUGACAAAACAUGCA
rnacentral:miRNA from 1 species